GAUGAACGCUGGCGGCGUGCCUAAUACAUGCAAGUCGAGCGAACGGACGAGAAGCUUGCUUCUCUGAUGUUAGCGGCGGACGGGUGAGUAACACGUGGAUAACCUACCUAUAAGACUGGGAUAACUUCGGGAAACCGGAGCUAAUACCGGAUAAUAUUUUGAACCGCAGGGUUCAAAAGUGAAAGACGGUCUUGCUGUCACUUAUAGAUGGAUCCGCGCUGCAUUAGCUAGUUGGUAAGGUAACGGCUUACCAAGGCAACGAUGCAUAGCCGACGUGAGAGGGUGAUCGGCCACACUGGAACUGGGACACGGUCCAGACUCCUACGGGAGGGAGCAGUAGGGAAUCUUCGGCAAUGGGCGAAAGCCUGACGGAGCAACGCCGCGUGAGUGAUGAAGGUCUUCGGAUCGUAAAACUCUGUUAUUAGGGAAGAACAUAUGUGUAAGUAACUGUGCACAUCUUGACGGUACCUAAUCAGAAAGCCACGGCUAACUACGUG
rnacentral:rRNA from 1 species